CUACGUGCCAGCAGCCGCGGUAAUACGUAGGUCCCGAGCGUUGUCCGGAUUUAUUGGGCGUAAAGCGAGCGCAGGCGGUUAGAUAAGUCUGAAGUUAAAGGCUGUGGCUUAACCAUAGUACGCUUUGGAAACUGUUUAACUUGAGUGCAAGAGGGGAGAGUGGAAUUCCAUGUGUAGCGGUGAAAUGCGUAGAUAUAUGGAGGAACACCGGUGGCGAAAGCGGCUCUCUGGCUUGUAACUGACGCUGAGGCUCGAAAGCGUGGGGAGCAAACAGGAUUAGAUACCCUGGUAGUCCACGCCGUAAACGAUGAGUGCUAGGUGUUAGACCCUUUCCGGGGUUUAGUGCCGUAGCUAACGCAUUAAGCACUCCGCCUGGGGAGUACGACCGCAAGGUUGAAACUCAAAGGAAUUGACGGGGGCCCGCACAAGCGGUGGAGCAUGUGGUUUAAUUCGAUGCAACGCGAAGAACCUUACCUACUCUUGACAUCCAGA
rnacentral:rRNA from 1 species